rnacentral:rRNA from 1 species
GACGUAGGGCGCGAGCGUUGUCCGGAAUUAUUGGGCGUAAAGAGCUCGUAGGCGGUCUGUCGCGUCGAUCGUGAAAAACUUGGGGGCUUUAACCCUGAGCUUGCGGUCGAUACGGGCAUGACUGGGAGUUCGGCAGGGGGAGACUGGAAUUCCUGGUGUAGCGGUGAAAUGCGCAGAUAUCAGGAGGAACACCGGUGGCGAAGGCGGGGUCUCUGGGGCCGAUACUGACGUGAGGGAGCGAAAAAGCGUGGGGGGGAGCAAACAGGGAAUUUAGAAAAACCCCUUUGUAAGUUCCCAGACC